AGCUACAUAUGUGAAGUUUUUGAUGUUCCACUUGAUAUCAUCGAGUCCGAGACACAGAAAUGUGUCCGCGCAGUCGAAUGUAUGCCAGAAUGUGUCAGACUUGGCUACUUCCUUUACUAGAGUAAACAAUCAAAACGUUAUUUGGUUCGAAUAAGAAUAAUUUCUUGCAUUAGAGGCAUUGGAUAGAAUGAACACCUCUUGGACAGAAUGCGAGGGAUACUGUUGGGGGAUUCUGGGCCUUCUUCUCUUUAACACAUUGAUUUGUGGCCUUAUAGCCCCAUAAAACUCCAUAAGGUGCUGCCAAAGCUACCAAUCUAAUCGGAAGUGUACUUGUCCCUUCAACCUCAGAAGACCCUUCUGUCAUUUUUACAACUUAAUGAACAAAUAAGAGAAAGUAGUUCAGAUAUGAACAGCUGGCCUAAUUCCCUCACUGAAAAAUAAAUAAUAAACAAAGUAGGCCUAAACCCUUGAACAGGACAAAGGAUUUCGUCUUAUUCUCUUUCCAUACCAGAUCAUUUUGUCAUAGUUUUUACAUACAGUUCUACAGGGCGAAGACAUAAAUGUAUCUAAUGGUUGAACAAUAAAGAUGGUUUAGUUAACAAGAUCAUCAGUGUGUCAGGUUAAUGCUGUCAGCACAUCAUCAGCACAGGCCUAUAUCUUUUCUGUGCUCGCAACAUAAUGCUUUUCAUUCAAAAUUCGUCUUUAUUGUACUAUAUCCAUCCCUGAAUCAUCCUGCUGACCCAAGCACCAAAAACAUGGUGCCCCAUAAAUAGCCUAUGCAUCACUUGGAGGUAAGGCCUACCUACUGGUCUUAAUGAGCGUAUGCUGCCAAGAGAGAGAGAGAGAGAGAGAGAGAGAGAGAGAGAGAGAGUACAAUGGCGACAACUGAAUGUGUAUUUGGAAUCAUCUUUGGUUCCUUAUCCGGGGACUACCUCUCACACUGCUAUUGGGCCACUGCGUCACGUGGUAAAAGUAACUUUACAGGGUUGCUCGCUAGUAGGAGGGCUUUAUGGAGCAGAAAAACGACAAAGCUAGAAAAAUUAUUUUUCACUCCAGAAAUUAAUGAUCAUGAGCUCGUAUUUGAUGGACUCUAACUACAUCGAUCCGAAAUUUCCUCCAUGUGAGGAAUAUUCGCAAAAUAGCUACAUCCCAGACCAUAGUCCCGAAUAUUACAACCGCGCGAGGGACACUGGCUACCAGCAUCAUCACCAGGAGUUAUAUCCUCCACGGUCAAGCUACCAGGAGCGACAGUAUAGCUGCCCAAGCAUCCCUGAGCCCGAGACCCAAAGAGGACAUGGACUACCACUCUCUGGGCACCUGCUCGCAGGGAAGGGGCAACCUGCCUCAUGUGAACCCCAGUUACCUAUGUCCCCAUCCACACCACCGGCUGCCUCUGCCGCCUGCAACCAAGCCACACCGGAGCAUCCAAACAGCACAGCCUCUGCCAAGCAGCCCGUAGUAUACCCAUGGAUGAAGAAAAUUCACGUCAGCACUGCGAAUCCCAAUUACAAUGGAGCGGAAGCCAAGCGGUCUAGAACUGCUUACACCCGCCAGCAGGUUUUAGAAUUGGAGAAGGAAUUCCACUAUAAUCGCUACUUAACACGACGAAGGCGCAUCGAGAUUGCUCACACCCUGGUUCUCUCCGAACGGCAAAUCAAAAUUUGGUUUCAGAACCGCAGAAUGAAGUGGAAGAAAGACCAUAGGCUGCCCAACACCAAAGUCAGAUCGUCCUCUUCCACAGGCAUAUCCAGCGGGUCCAGCACAACCUCUGCAGUCAGCGUUGUUGGAGCAACCUCGGCUCCAAGCACCAUGUCAACUACCGAUGAACUCUCCGGAACUGACCGUGGCGAGGAUAUUACAAGGUUAUAAAAACAAUUUCACGAAGCAGAAAGAAAUGACUGAUAAUUUAUAGAAUAUAAUAUAUUUUGUUUUCGUAGUUAUCUUGUGCGUAAAAAGGGAUUUCCAUGUAGUCCACAAUUACAUGAAAUGCAUGUUAUCUAGCAUGGAUCAAUGCGAACACCACUGGAUUUUUUACGCGAUACAGGGUUUAAUUUAUUUAAAACGGAGGCAAAAUGUUUUGUAUGAAAAUGCUGUUCUGGAUGAAGCAGUAAAUGGACAAUAUAUCUAAGUAUUAUUGUGGGCCACAGCCUGCUCACUGCUGCCAAGGUGAAGUGCACAAUUGUUCUAUUUAUUUCAUAUCUAGGAUUGGAGGACAUUCCUUUUUGUAUUUACAUGCUACCGCCGAGAAUAUAAAACGCUGAUCUUGAAAGUAGCUUAUUUGUUUAUCGGAAAAAUAUCUGAAAUACUGUGUUGCUCAGCGUAUAAAAAAAUUAAAUUAUUAUUUGGUUAUGUGGUGAUGUUGUGUUUAGGCUAUUAAAGCAGAUCAUUGUGAGAUGCAAUAAAAUCCAGUUUAGUGUUGUGAUAAUCAUAUUGGUCAAUAAAACGUGAGUGUCUAUUAGUUUAAAAAAAUGCUUGAGUGAAUAUCAUCCAUGUUUAAUUUAGGCCAAAUGUCCAUUUUGUGAAUAAACCUUGACUGAUCAAGUACUGAAACCAAUGUGUUUGGAAGGUGUGCAGCUCAAAUAUGGCCAUAGUAAGGGUAAAUGUAAUGUUUAAAUAAAUAUACUAAUUAAUAAUAUUGCUCUCCUGGAUUGGCCUAGACCACCCCAUGUAUGGUUCAUACAGGCACUGAAUGAUAGCAAAAGUAAAUAUCUAGGAUGAAUUACUUGUUAAUGAGAAAUUAGCUGUGUCUCUUUUUGCCAUAGCAAUAGCUAGCCUAGUUGUGGUUCUGUACUGGUCAUCACUUUCGCAUUCGAUUAGAAUAAAUAGUCUGAGCUCUUCCUUUGAGAUCUUAUCAGGACUGACUGCAAUGGACAGUUCCUAGCUCAAUAUGAAAUUGGACCUUCCUCACAAUGUCUUUGAAAAUCAAUGCCACUUGUAAAAAGGGAGACCUUUUGUUUAAAGAUGUAUUGUUUUCUAUUUUCACUUCUGUCAGACUGUGCAGACGUUGACUUACCAUCAGCAAAACCCAUCAAGAUUUUUGCAAGGAUAUUAAGCAUUGGCCUACUCUCACAGCCUUUUAAAAAGUGGCGCUGGUCAGUGUUCCAUACGACGUCAUGACGUCCUCAUCCGGAGUGUGUUAUCCAGAGGAAUCCAUGAACCCCAGUAUCCCCAAAGGCUAGAAUGAGUCAUGUGAGGAAUACAAAACUGCCUGGUAUGCCGGGAAAGACUCUUUGUCCGACUCCAAGUUGUCGGACAGCUGACAACUCAAGCAUCAUUUGCCUCGUGCUGCCAUUGGAGGAAACUUCCACGUGACAUA